rnacentral:tRNA from 1 species
GGAUUGUGGCUCAGUGGUAGAGUGCUUGCCUCGCAUGUGUGAGAGCCUGGGUUCGAUCCUCAGCACCA